GAUUUUACCCCAGUGAAAAAGGCUUGUAAUCCACAGUGAUCAGCUAAGAUGUUGUUUCACUGGAUUAUUUAAUUGGGCAUAUAAUUGGAUAAUUCUGGAUCAGCUGAGAUCUUAUUUCACUGGAUUAUUUAAUGCAUAGGCUAAUUGGGCAUAUAGUUGAAUAUCUCUGUCCUCAACCUGGAAGAAUUGGUUUGUUCUUAACCAUCUAUAAUCCAUUCUCUAUGAAGUUCAGACUGUCUGCUGUUCCUUUGGAAAUACACAGUUAGUCAACAAACAUAGAAACACACAAACUUGAAGGAUAUUCUAGUGAGGGCUUGUGGAAAUGAUCUAUGUCUACUCUCAGAAUGGUGAAAGACUAUCAGAUUAUGCAAAGACUAAUAGAAUAUCCUCUCUUAAAACACUGAAACAAGAAAAUCAAACAGGAGGUGGAUGGAGGAUUUAAGAAGCACAUAGAUAAAUAUGAUUUCAAAACCAAUUUAACCAGUAUGAUCAUAAACUGUGGUUUACAGGAUGACAAAGAAAGGAGCCAGGAUUGUAUCUUUCACUGUCAGACAAUGACUAUGGAUAAAGUGUAGCCAUUUAUCAGACUGAGAUCUAGUCAAAUCAAGUAUUGAAAAUAUGAAAAUAUGAUUUUCUGAUAGCAUGAGCUCUUUUAAAACUUAUUCUCACUGACCUCAAAGUAUGUGAAUGUGACUUUUAUUUUUACCAAUUCAUAUUGAAGACUGUUGUUAUGUAUGGGAAUUACACAUUAAAACCUUUUAUUUUUCAUCUAAUUUUUACAACCCCCUAGAAAUUAACACAGAUAUCCAGAUGCUGGAUUUAAUGUUAUUAUUUAACUUUCCUGGAAUUGUAAAUAUAUUUUGUUUGUGUAUGUAUCAUGUUUAAUUUUGAAUUUAAAAUUGGUCUCAAUAAGACCCCCAAUAAAGAUGCAAGUGUCCCAUAAUCUGUGUUUUAAUAAUAUCUUGAAUAUCUUUAUCAUACCAUAUUCAUCAUACUAAUUACAUAUAGAAUGGUUGUAGGAAUACACUUUGUUGUUAAGGACACUUUGUCAAGGUCAAAGCAUAAGAUUAUUGAGAUGACUUCUUUGACAAUAAUUUGUAACUUACAAACUUCACAUCAUAAGUACACACUCAGAUGAAGAAUCAAUAAGAUAUUUCUAUAGAGUUUUUGGAUCAUUUACUCCUGGGUAAAAGUUAAUUACUGAGAUUACUGAUUUGAAUCCUGUAAUGCAAUAACUUAAACAUUGUGUAAUAACUUAUAGACUUUAUAAAAAUUUGGUGCAAAUUCUUAGGUUUAGGGAAAAAGUCAAGAAUGUGGAUAUGACUUUUAUUCAAAUGGUGCAGUUCAGCAACUCUGGUGAUUAACAUACCUUCAGUCAUAAAUACAUGUAGAUAGGUAUUUGGAAGACUCCUUUAGAAUUUGAAAUUUUUAUUUCAAAAGUAUAGAAUUUAAGUUUGAAAGAUUUAAAAUGGCAGCAUAUCAUUUGCUUGUGAAUUAAAAAAAAUAAAUCCAAACAUAUACAUCUUUGGAUGAUAAUUGUAGAAAUCUAUCAAUUCCUGGACUUUCUGUCUUGAUAUUUUCCUUUAUUAUCUGUAAAAUUUUAAUGACUGUCUUUUUAGUUUAGUUGAACUAGUUUCUUAUUAGCAUGUGAAAAUGGCAUCAUCCAAAUAAGUUCAUCUACAUGUUAUAUGUAGGAGAGAAUUUUUCAUCACAGGGAAAGAAAGAGAUUGUCUUGUAUAAUAUAAUGCAUUUGUACACAAAAAUAUCUUUCAAUUUCUAACAUGUUUCAUUUUUGUUACAUUGUAAACAUUUCUAAGUAGGGCAUACAUCAGAAACUCUUAAAAUGAUCUCUACUGUUCUAUCUGAGCAUCAGGGUUUAACAGUACAUAACAAUUCCAAAUGAUUUUGGACGCUUUUUUAUGUAUCAAAAAGACAAAACAAAAUGUUUGUUCACAGAUGUUCCAAUGGAAAACAACCACAAAGAAAUGAUUUGAUAUGUUCUCUAUGUGAUUCAUGUAAAAUGUAUUUUAAAAUUGUAUCCUAACAUUUAUCUUUUGCAUAAAUACAUUUUUUUUUUUGUGGAGAAUUUCUCAUAACUUUGAAAAAAGUAGUCUUAUUGUAUAAUAAGGUUAACUUUAAAUUUUGUAGACUUAAAAGUUGUACAUGAUAUGUUACACAUCUUGCAUAUUUUCAUUUCAAGGCAUUCAGCAUAUAUUGUGGUUUUGUCUUAAAUUUGUUUGUUCAUGUAAUCAAUAAUUUGAGAAUUUCUCAUAACUUUGAAAAAAGUAGUCUUAUUGUAUAAUAAGGUUAACUUUAAAUUUUGUAGACUUAAAAGUUGUACAUGAUAUGUUACACAUCUUGCAUAUUUUCAUUUCAAGGCAUUCAGCAUAUAUUGUGGUUUUGUCUUAAAUUUGUUUGUUCAUGUAAUCAAUAAUUUGAGAAUUUCUCAUAACUUUGAAAAAAGUAGUCUUAUUGUAUAAUAAGGUUAACUUUAAAUUUUGUAGACUUAAAAGUUGUACAUGAUAUGUUACACAUCUUGCAUAUUUUCAUUUCAAGGCAUUCAGCAUAUAUUGUGGUUUUGUCUUAAAUUUGUUUGUUCAUGUAAUCAAUAAUUUGAGAAUUUCUCAUAACUUUGAAAAAAGUAGUCUUAUUGUAUAAUAAGGUUAACUUUAAAUUUUGUAGACUUAAAAGUUGUACAUGAUAUGUUACACAUCUUGCAUAUUUUCAUUUCAAGGCAUUCGGCAUAUAUUGUGGUUUUGUCUUAAAUUUGUUUGUUCAUGUAAUCAAUAAUUUGAGAAUACUCAAAUUAGAAAAUGUAUGAGAGAAUAGGCAAGAAAAUGAGGUUAAAAAUGUUUUUUACUACAAAGGGUUUAAUCUAUAUAUUUAUUUUAUAAGUACAAUCAGUCUAUACAUUUAAGGUAUUUCUGUAUGAAAUAAACUUACAUUUGAGUAUUUUAAGACAAUUGUAAACAUUAAUUUAACCAGUUUUAAAAAAUGAUUAGAUUCACUGUCAGCAUGUUAUUUCUUGUAAAAUAAAAAGAAAACAAACAAUUU